CCGAGAUAGGGGUACAAGUCCUGCAGAAUUGCGUUCCUCUGGACUAAGCGAAGACCUGAUAAGGGUAGCGACGAAGCUCGGCGUGGUAAGGGGAGAGUGCCAGACGUGGUGUCUCCUACCACG
rnacentral:sRNA from 12 species